rnacentral:lncRNA from 1 species
UGAAACAAGACAAGGCUCAAUUGUGUAUGCCUUUUACUUUCAGUGCCAUGAUAAUUUUUGUUGUGGGGAGGAAAUUCUCACUGCAAAGAAAUCAAUAAACACCAGUGAUUCCCAUCUCUGCUGUUAUAUGGGCUUGGAAAUGCCCACAGGCAAAAUGAGAAAAACAAGGAAAAGAAAUAACAACAGACAGGAUUACAACCCACUGGUGUACAACUUCUGCAGCAGCUUUUGGCUCUGGUUUGUACAAGACAUUUGCAAAUGACAGGUUGGCUUUUUUUAGCUCUUAUGUUUGGGACAGGAUAAGCCUUCUAUCAUGAGACUUUUGAAAUGGAGGCCAAAAUCUUG